AGCAGCGUAGCUCAGUUGGUAGAGCAAGGGAUUCAUAAGCCCUGGGUCCCCGGUUCGAGUCCGGGCGCUGCUA
rnacentral:tRNA from 1 species